UCAAUCCAGUUCUCCUGCCGCCGCCUGAGCGCGCCCCCGACAACACCGCGGCCCGUCUUGGAGCACCGGGUGAAGGGCAGAUGCAGAGGAGAGAGACGCAGAGGGAGGUUUCUGCUGUUCACCCCAGGGGUCACUCACAGCUCGAGUUGCGGCAGUAGCAUCGCUGCAGGUUAUUCACUGCUCGCCACUCCGCACGAUAAGUCUCUCUCUGGCUUGUAGCUGCGGGGAAAGGCGGAGCCCCCCUCUGGCUGAUUCCCACGGCGGUCAGACAGACAGAAAAGGGAUUGAGAGACGCUGCUAUUCUGCUGUGAAGAUGGGAACGAUCCCGGGCUCGGGGAUUGUGCUGAUUUUUCUUCUGAUGGCCCCGGGCAGAGCCAAGAUCCAGCAGCCGGGCUCCGCAGACGGUUUGGAGGGAGGCGAGCUGAACCUCACCUGCUCUCACCCCUCAAUCAAGACGAAUGAGAAUGUAGUUUGGUACCGGCAGUUCCCGAACCAAGGACCCCAAUAUAUAGUUUCUGGAUUCCGGGAAACUACUCAUAGCACCGACCCCGAGGGAGCUUUGCAUGUUUCUGGAGACAGAAAGUCCAGCGCCCUGGCCCUGCGCAGGGUGCGGCUGGCGGACGCAGCGGUGUAUUAUUGUGCUCUGAGCGACACAGUGGGACCGCCAGGGGCUGGUCCCGUACAAUAAGUAUCUCACUGCGGCCUGUGUGUGCGUAGGCGGUGGGAGGGGUGAAUGUGGAGUGUGUUUCCAUGAGGGGGAGGGCAGAGGGGCGAUUAGGGGAGAUAAAAGAGAUGAAUAAAAGAUUUGGGGCCAAAUUUUCCAAGGUCUUGGUGCGCCUAACUAUUUACUUAGGAGCCAAAUGAGAUUUGAUCCUUUGGAAACGUUCUAAGAAAAUCUGCUUCAGGGAGAACUAUGAAGCACAGUAAAUGAAAAGUAACAAACCUUUCCCAUUACAUCUGCAAGGAGGCUAUUUUGAUAGAGAGAUGAAUGGAUAGAGUCGGCGCUGUUGUAGCCCCGUUGGAGGCAGGAAUAUGAGACAGACGAGGUGGGAGAGAGAAUAUAUUUUAUUGGACCAACUUAUUUUGGUAAGAAAAACAGCUACAGGCGUUGGUCCAAUAGAAUAUAUUACCUCACCCACCUUGUCUGGAAAGAUUAGAGAAGGAGAGAAGGAGAGGGAGAGAUGAGAGGCAGAGACAGAGAGAUGAUGAAGAGAGAGAGCGAGAGAGAGAGAGAGAUGCUGGAGAGAGAUAACACAAGACCAUCCUCGAAUUGCAUUUGUGAAAUGGACACAAAUAUUACUAGAAAAAAAUGACUGGGAAGUUUAGCAAAUAUUAUUCUGCAAACGAAUUUUCCCCAGACAGGAAGUAAGCACAUAUGGAGUCUAAAUUAAUAAAAUUUCACUAAACAGCCUGGUACCAUCCGCUUUUUCCAAUUGCUCAGGGAAUUUCUCAGGGAGCACCUCACCUGGGAAAGUCGCUGUAACAAGAUUUCUGAGCGGCAUCUCACUACAGUUCGCGGAUUGUCCCGCCAGAGGGCGCUGCGGUACAAGCAAAAAUGCUCCCUAUAAACCUGCCACCGCAAGGGUUUAUUUCACCUCUUGGCUUUUCAUUCAAUCCAGUUCUGCUGUCACCCCCGGAGCGCGCCCCCGACAACACCGCGAGCCGUCUUGGAGCCUCAGAGGCAGGGCAGUUGCAGUCUGCAGAGCAUAGCGGAGAGACUGAGGGAGGUUUAUGCGCUUAACGCAAGUGUCGCUCACAGCUCCAGUUCCAGCAGUAGCAUCACUGCAGGUUU